rnacentral:lncRNA from 1 species
ACAUUAAUAGCUAACAAAAUUAAAUUAAAAUCAUUGCAAAAAAUAGAAUAUUAAUAAUACCGUACAUAUAAAUCUCUCGACUCAUCUCGAACAAAAGUACUAUCCUAAUGAGUAUGAGUCAUCCGAUAAAACUCUACUUUACCGGGUUCCCUCCCAUGCUCAUCCACCUACACAAAUAAUUUUAAUUUUAAGCAAACAGUUAUAAUAAUUUAAAAAAAUAUAUGAGUAUCAUGAUACAGACAUGGUCCAUGAUACAU